CCUAUAGACUACAGAUGCUGGAAUGCUCUGUAAUCGAAAGUUCCGACGCCUUAGGAUGGAUCUGCGGCCGAUUAGGUUGUUGUCGGGGUAAUGGCCCAACAAGCCAGUGAUCGGUACGGGUUGUGGGAGCAAGAGCCCGGAGUUGGAUUCUGAGACACGAAUCCAGGCCCUACGGGGCGCAGCAGGCGCGAAAACUUUACAAUGCGGGCAACCGUGAUAAGGGAACCUCGAGUGCCUGUAUAUGCAGGCUGUCCAGGUGUCUAAAACACACCUGAAGAAAGGGCCGGGCAAGACCGGUGCCAGCCGCCGCGGUAAUACCGGCGGCUCGAGUGGUGGCCACUUUUAUUGGGCUUAAAGCGUUCGUAGCUGGGUUGUUAAGUCUCUUGGGAAAUCUGGCGGCUUAACCGUCAGGCGUCUAAGGGAUACUGGCAAUCUUGGAACCGGGAGAGGUGAGGGGUACUUCGGGGGUAGGAGUGAAAUCCUGUAAUCCUCGAGGGACCACCUGUGGCGAAGGCGCCUCACCAGAACGGCUUCGACAGUGAGGGACGAAAGCUGGGUGGAGCAAACCGGAUUAUAUACCCGGGUAGUCCCAGCCGUAUAUGAUGCGCGUUAGGUGUAUCGGUGACCACGAGUCACCGAGGUGCCGAAGGGGAAACCGUGAAACGUGCCGCCUGGGAAGUACAGGUCGCAAGGGCUGAAACUUAAAGGAAUUGUCGGGAGGAGCACCACUACGGGUUGAAACCUGCGAUUUAAUAUGCACUCAACGCCGGAAAUCUCACCGGAUAAGACAGCUGAAUGAUUGUCAGGGCUGAAUAACUCUGCAUGACUAGCUGAGCAGAGGUGCAUAUCCGUCGUCAGGUCAUACU
rnacentral:rRNA from 1 species